UCCUAUUGCAAUGGUUCGUUGUAUUCCGCAUAUCUGUGAAACCAUACAAGAUGUUCAAAUCACUAAUGAUUACCUCAAUAGGCCUACAGGAAAAAGUCAUGAAUUUUUAAAUUCUGAUUUAUUUGGUAAAAUUUUAAAACACCAUUCCAUCGAAAAAAGCAUAUCGGUACAAGAAUGCGCUAAUCGUUGGAAAAAUUUAUGGAUUAUAGAAGAGGCGUUCAAGGAUUGUACAAAUGCAAUAAAAAUCA